AACGGCCGUAACAUGCUGAAUAUACCGGUUCUCGUUAGAUCACCGAAGUCAAGCAUCAUUGGGCGCGGUCAGUACUUGGGUGGGUGACCACCUGGGAACACCGCGUGCCGUU
rnacentral:rRNA from 1 species